rnacentral:rRNA from 1 species
UACAGGGGGUGCGAGCGUUGUUCGGAAUUACUGGGCGUAAAGCGCGCGCAGGCGGCCCUUUAAGUCUACCCGUGAAAUGCCGGAGCUCAACUCCGCGCACGCCGGGGGAUACUGGGGGGCUGGAGACAUGUAGAGGCAAGCGGAAUUCCGGGUGUAGCGGUGGAAUGCGUAGAGAUCCGGAAGAACACCUGAGGCGAAGGCGGCUUGCUGGGCAUGAUCUGACGCUGAGGCGCGAAAGCGUGGGGAGCAAACAGG